GGGGAUGUGGCUCAGUGGUGAGAGCUUGCCUAGCAUGCACAAAGUCCUGGGUUCAGUUCCCAGCACACCG
rnacentral:tRNA from 1 species